rnacentral:tRNA from 1 species
GCGGGUAUAGCUCAGUUGAUAGAGCGCAUCCUUGCCAAGGAUGAGGCCAGGAGUUUGAGUCUCCUUACCCGCACCA